UUUUAUUCCAACAUUCGGUUUCAAGUGGAAUAAGAGAAGACAACCUCUAAUAAUUCACAUUGAAAUGACGUCAAUCAAUGUAAAAAUGAAUUAAAAGAAAUUGUCAUCGACAUUGGUGUGGAGAAAAAGGUAAAUGGAAAGAUUAAAUAGUGGGAGACACCUUCAAAGUUUGUGUUAGAGAUUAUAAAAAAGGACGCUAUUCUACGUUUGAGAGACGAGACACAUACGGUUGGAACUAGAAAGCAUCUUCCUUCUCUUGUUCCUAUGGUAUCAUAAUAGGGGAAAACGUGUAAGUGCGUCUGAUGGCAGACUGCCACUUAUACCUAACCUAACCCAAGCUUUCCGGGAAACAAACUUAACCUUCCCUAGGCCAACAAAGAAUAAUGAAUAAGGACGGAGGAGGAGCUUUAUCAAGUUAUAGUCAGAUUCGGGGCUGAAGAAGCAAAAUGGGGAGAUCGGUUUAUAUGGUUUAAAUGCAUUUUUAAUAAAGCUUAGAAUGAACUUUAAUCAAAUAUA